rnacentral:lncRNA from 1 species
CUGAAAAGUGGGAAUAAUAGGAAGACUCUCUUCAUCGCAGGCUUGUUGUGAGGACGAGAUAGUCCUAAGUCACAACAACUGUUAGCUGCUAUUCUUCCUGCUUCCAGCCUGGCCCCCUGAGGAGGGCUCCAUCUAACACCUGCCGGCCACGCCCCUCUCCCCGCCCCCAAAUCACUGCUUCAGAGAAGAGAGCAAAAGAGACAGGUUGCCCGGGAGAGCCCUUUCAUGGGGCGUGGCUCUGCCCCUAGGUCCCCAGGAGUGAUCAUAAUUUGACGUGUCACAGAGGCAGCAGCUUUAAAAGGGCAAGAACUGGACAUUCCUUCAGCAAUGGGGAUUGUUCUGUCACAUCGUGCUGCUUAAGUCUGGGAGCCAGGGUGGGAGGUACUGGGUUACAAGAAGGGAACAGGUGUGAGGGGUGACAACAUACUCAUUCAGCUUUGGACUCGUGCCUGUGGGGGUCCUGUAGGAGAUCUUGCGGACCUGUGCAGUGGGCCGUCGGAAAGGCAAGCCUGACCCUUUCAAGAGAGGUCAGGCCUGGAGACCAAGGGUGAGGCCCCUCCAUAAAGAGAAGGUGGUUGAAGCCCAUGGAUUAGAUGCUUGUGAAGAGCACAGAGUGGGAAGAGAAAGGACCAGUGACAGAACCAUGAGAAGCACAAUAGAGGGCGGGGAGAGGCAGACCUGACAUGGGGCAGACUCAAAUCCCGCCCUCAUGGACCUUACAGAGCUGCCACAAGCAUUCGUAAUUCUUAUCUAAGUAGACAGGGUCAAGUUACUAAGAGAGGACCAAGGACCUCAUUUCCAGGAGUGAGGCCAGGAAGACUCCAUGAAGGAGGGUGUUUUAACCAGGCUUUGGACCAAGCGCGGGAUGAGGACUGGCAAAAGAUGGUUAGACACACAAAGCUGCCCAGUUUGUGGUAAUCUGUUUUGGCAGCCUUAGGAAAUGAAUACAGGAGGCCAGGCCUUUUUACCCAGUACGAUCUGUCGUUGGAUGUGGGCUGCCCCGGAAGGAAGCACGAUCCUGGGCACUGAAAGAGAACACAGGGCUGAUUCCUUGACCUUUUGCAGUUCAUAGUCUAAUGAGGAAUACGAAUAAUUACAAAGGAAAGACUCUUUUACAGCCCUCAGCACUGUUAUUGCGUGAACUGGCUCAGCAUGGCCGGCCCAGUGAAGGACGCCAGUGGUAGUAACCGGGGAAGAGGGAUCCCCUGGCUCUUCUUACCAAACUUCUCCGAUCGUUUGGAGUGGUUUGGCCAUCAGUUAGUCAGGAAGAGGCCAGAAGGACACGUGCUGAUAAUGCUUCAAGAAAGUUAAACUUUAGGAAAAACUCGACCGAAGUAAAAAUAGCUAUGUAGUCAGUGACCAAAGCUACUUGGAUGGUCCUGUUGAUUGCUCUUGUGCAUUUUAUCACACGAAUACAGGCUUUCCCCUAAAAGUUGAAAAUAAAGAAGGGAAAUGUGAUGAAUGGC